GAUGAACGCUGGCGGCGUGCCUAAUACAUGCAAGUCGAGCGAACAGACGAGGAGCUUGCUCCUCUGACGUUAGCGGCGGACGGGUGAGUAACACGUGGAUAACCUACCUAUAAGACUGGGAUAACUUCGGGAAACCGGAGCUAAUACCGGAUAAUAUAUUGAACCGCAUGGUUCUAUAGUGAAAGACGGUUUUGCUGUCACUUAUAGAUGGAUCCGCGCCGCAUUAGCUAGUUGGUAAGGUAACGGCUUACCAAGGCGACGAUGCGUAGCCGACCUGAGAGGGUGAUCGGCCACACUGGAACUGAGACACGGUCCAGACUCCUACGGGAGGCAGCAGUAGGGAAUCUUCCGCAAUGGGCGAAAGCCUGACGGAGCAACGCCGCGUGAGUGAUGAAGGUCUUCGGAUCGUAAAACUCUGUUAUUAGGGAAGAACAAAUGUGUAAGUAACUAUGCACGUCUUGACGGUACCUAAUCAGAAAGCCACGGCUAACUACGU
rnacentral:rRNA from 1 species